rnacentral:rRNA from 1 species
UCCGUAGGUGAACCUGCGGAAGGAUCAUUACCGAGUGCAGGUCUGCCCCCGGGCAGGCCUAACCUCCCACCCGUGAAUACCUGACCAACGUUGCUUCGGCGGUGCGCCCCCCCGGGGGUAGCCGCCGGAGACCACAUUGAACCUCUUGUCUUUAGUGUUGUCUGAGCUUGAUAGCAAACCUAUUAAAACUUUCAACAAUGGAUCUCUUGGUUCCGGCAUCGAUGAAGAACGCAGCGAACUGCGAUAAGUAAUGUGAAUUGCAGAAUUCAGUGAAUCAUCGAGUCUUUGAACGCACAUUGCGCCCCCUGGCAUUCCGGGGGGCAUGCCUGUCCGAGCGUCAUUGCUGCCCUUCAAGCCCGGCUUGUGUGUUGGGUCGUCGUCCCCCCCGGGGGACGGGCCCGAAAGGCAGCGGCGGCACCGCGUCCGGUCCUCGAGCGUAUGGGGCUUUGUCACCCGCUCAGAUUAGGGCCGGCCGGGCGCCAGCCGGCGUCUCCAACCUUCUAUUUUACCAGGUUGACCUCGGAUCAGGUAGGGAUACCCGCUGAACUUAAGCAUAUCAAUAAGCGGAGGA